GUUGCCCUUACUGCUGUUUAAAUUAAACCAUCACCAUCAUUCCCAGUUGUCUGUGCUGUUCAUGACACCCAUGACUCUCCUGACCUGCUCAUGGACACGACGCCUUGGGGUAUCUGUGGCCUCAUUCCUCAUCUCCUAUACGUGACCCCCCAUCUCCCACCACAAACACAUCACCGUGGGGUGUCCCACAAGGGACGCUGUGGGGUGUGAUGUGGGGCCAUGUCCCAUGAGCUGUUCCUGCACGCCCCCAGCAUGGGGGGAUCAUUUCCAUGGCACACCCAGUACCACACCCCCCCGGCAGCUUUGGUAGCUCAGUGCAAGCUCUCACACCCGCGGCAGGGACACGGCACGUCGCUGGAUCCGGGCAGCGGAAGCUGAGGGCUGAGCUGCCUCCCAUCCAUCAGGAUGCCUGGCAGCUGGGGACAGGUUGCAGUUAUUGCUAUGGGAUGACUCAGUUUUGGCAGGGGGAGACUGUCCUGCCCAGGCACCAACUAAGACAACAAAGGGCAUCCCGCAUCACUCCUGUGCCAGCUCUGGGGUGUCCAGCCUGCCCUUUCCAGGAUCACAGGGACCCCAUCGGGAGCCACCUGGGACAGAGAGGGACACCAGCAUUCCUGGCUGGCUCUUCCCUGCGUCCCAAAGCUGUCAAGAGCUUGGGAUAUGCUGGGAUUAUCAUGAGGGAAAGCAAGGCUGAGGACAACCCUGAAAUGGCCAUCUCAUCUUGGCAGAGCCACCCCAUCCUGGCAGAACCGCCCCAUGGCUGUCCAGAAGGGUCUGGACCUACCACUACUGGAGCAGAAAGAGCUGCAGCCCAGAAGGGGUGUGGAAGGCUCAGCUCACACCAGUUCAGGGGUGCUCCCCCAGCCCUUCCACACCUCCCCAGAGGAGAUGACCAGAUGGAGCUGGUGGGACACAGUCACCUCUGUUUCCCAAAAGACAAACAGCCACCCUCAGGGUCAUGGCUGUCACUGGAGAUGUUCUCAGGGUGGAUUUGCAGACCAGCCCUGCACCACCACACCACUCAUGAGUGGCACAAGUUUUUGAUCUGCUGCCACAGCACGAGGGGAAGCAGCCCCAAGCCCCAUCCCAGCCACUGGGCAAGAGUCAGGCUCACCAUCGCUGUGGCCUGGGCAAGUGCCCCAUGACCCCACUUGUAGAUGGGCCUUUCCUUC
rnacentral:lncRNA from 1 species